UACGAAGGGGGCUAGCGUUGCUCGGAAUCACUGGGCGUAAAGGGUGCGUAGGCGGGUCUUUAAGUCAGGGGUGAAAUCCUGGAGCUCAACUCCAGAACUGCCUUUGAUACUGAAGAUCUUGAGUUCGGGAGAGGUGAGUGGAACUGCGAGUGUAGAGGUGAAAUUCGUAGAUAUUCGCAAGAACACCAGUGGCGAAGGCGGAUCUCUGGGCCUUACCUGACGCUGAGGCGCGAAAGCUAGGGGAGCAAACAGG
rnacentral:rRNA from 1 species